rnacentral:rRNA from 1 species
CAGCCGCCGCGGGAAUACGUAGGGUGCGAGCGUUAAUCGGAAUUACUGGGCGUAAAGCGUGCGCAGGCGGUUUUGUAAGACAGGCGUGAAAUCCCCGGGCUCAACCUGGGAAUGGCGCUUGUGACUGCAAAGCUAGAGUGCGGCGGAGGGGGAUGGAAUUCCGCGUGUAGCAGUGAAAUGCGUAGAUAUGCGGAGGAACGCCGAUGGCGAAGGCAAUCCCCUGGGCCUGCACUGACGCUCAUGCACGAAAGCGUGGGGAGCAAACAGGAUUAGAUACCCGAGUAGUCCCUGUCUCUUAUAC